UACGUAGGGGGCUAGCGUUGUCCGGAAUCAUUGGGCGUAAAGCGCGCGUAGGCGGCCAGAUAAGUCCGGUGUGAAAGUCACAGGCUCAACCUGUGAAUGCCGCUGGAAACUGUCUGGCUCGAGUCCGGGAGGGGCGAGUGGAAUUCCUGGUGUAGCGGUGAAAUGCGCAGAUAUCAGGAGGAACACCAAUGGCGAAGGCAGCUCGCUGGAACGGUACUGACGCUGAGGCGCGAAAGCGUGGGGAGCGAACAGGAUUAGAACCGUACCGU
rnacentral:rRNA from 1 species